GACGAACGCUGGCGGCGUGCUUAACACAUGCAAGUCGAACGGAAAGGCCCUGCUUUUGUGGGGUGCUCGAGUGGCGAACGGGUGAGUAACACGUGAGUAACCUGCCCUUGACUUUGGGAUAACUUCAGGAAACUGGGGCUAAUACCGGAUAGGAGCUCCUGCUGCAUGGUGGGGGUGGGAAAGUUUCGGCGGUUGGGGAUGGACUCGCGGCUUAUCAGCUUGUUGGUGGGGUAGUGGCUUACCAAGGCUUUGACGGGUAGCCGGCCUGAGAGGGUGACCGUCCACAUUGGGACUGCGAUACGGCCCAGACUCCUACGGGAGGCAGCAGUGGGGAAUAUUGCACAAUGGGCGGAAGCCUGAUGCAGCAACGCCGCGUGCGGGAUGACGGCCUUCGGGUUGUAAACCGCUUUCGCCUGUGACGAAGCGUGAGUGACGGUAAUGGGUAAAGAAGCACCGGCUAACUACGUG
rnacentral:rRNA from 1 species